GCAUUAGUGGAAUUUGAAAUUAGCUUUAUCAUUUUAAUUCUGAUUUUGUAUUAUUAACCACGAUACAAUGAUUAAGAAAGUAAAAAGUUAUUGAAAUUUAAGUCUUCCCCAAACUUGAAACUCUCAUGCUGCCUAGGAAUACGUUGUUAUGAAAUAGUGCACUUUUCUUUGUAGGCUGUUACGUUCCCUAGCAAGAAACCAAAAGAUGUCGCUCGAACAGAAGGGGAAACUAACAGAGUCACUAACAACCAAAACGAAACAGGAGGGGUUCUGAAAGACACUCGGGGGUGUCCACUGAAAGUUGACGAGCAACAACAACUGUAACCUAAGACACCCACCAUGAACGCCCACUACAUUUGCCCAAGUAGAGGCAAACAAUUAAAACCCACACAAUUUAAAGAAAGGAAGCAAACAAAAAAGGAGAGCAAAAUGAAAACAGAGAUUUUAGAAAUCAAAUAGGGAGAGCCAUCCACUCUUAAAUAUCACCUGUGCCAGUACAGCUGAAACACCUUCUGACUAACGAGAUGACAAGCUAGCACAGAUGUAAUACAUAUUGACUAAUGAGGUGAUGCCAAUCGGUGUGCCCAACGUGCUAAUGUUCAACCUCUAAAUAUAAAUGGUUAAACCAAAGCCUGUAACAAGGCCUACUGCAAAAUUACAACGAGAGAGAGAGAUAAUGAGAGGGGUGUUGUAACUAAGAUUGUGCCUAUUGAAACUCGGCUUAUCCAUUGCGGCGAUCCAUCAGGGAGAAAAGCGCUCACCUCAAUCCAGCACCAACGGAUGGAUGGAGAUAAGAGAAGAGGGAGAGGGAGAGAGAUGGAGAAACUAAACUGUGUUUCGCUCUACACAAAAGACACAUAUGAAGAUAUUCAAACAAACAGAGAUGAACAGAGAUAACAGGAAGGAAAAAUCACUGACCAGGACAAUGGGGAUGAUGCGGCUCUUCAUCUCUCUGGACAUCUGGCACCAGACACAGCAGUUGCAGCAGCGCUGGCGCAUGGACACCCUCAUGGACAUUGUGACGGGUGGGAUGAUGCCGAAGAUGUCCAGCAGAGGGAGACAAAGACACUGUCCGUACUCCCUUGUAUGUAUACAGGCAUGGCAGGGACAU